rnacentral:rRNA from 1 species
CUGCAGCCCGAGUGGUGGUCGAUAUUAUUGAGCCUAAAGCGUCCGUAGCCGGACUAGUAUAUUCUUGGGUAAAUCGGGCAGCUUAACUGUCCGACUUCCGAGGAGACUGCUAGUCUUGGGACUGGGAGAGGUCAGAGGUACUCCAGGGGUAGGGGCUAAAUCCUGUAAUCCUUGGGGGACCACCAGUGGCGAAGGCGUCUGACUAGAACGGAUCCGACGGUAAGGGACGAAACCCUGGGGCGCAAACCGGAUUAGAUACCCGAGUAGUCC